AGUGAACGCUGGCGGUAGGCCUAACACAUGCAAGUCGAACGGCAGCACAGUAAGAUCUUGCUCUUACGGGUGGCGAGUGGCGGACGGGUGAGGAAUACAUCGGAAUCUACUUUUUCGUGGGUGAUAACGUAGGGAAACUUACGCUACUACCGCAUACGACCUACGGGUGAAAGCAGGGGAUCUUCGGACCUUUCGCGAUUGAAUGAGCCGAUGUCGGAUUAGCUAGUUGGCGGGGUAAAGGCCCACCAAGGCGACGAUCCGUAGCUGGUCUGAGAGGAUGAUCAGCCACACUGGAACUGAGACACGGUCCAGACUCCUACGGGAGGCAGCAGUGGGGAAUAUUGGACAAUGGGCGCAAGCCUGAUCCAGCCAUACCGCGUGGGUGAAGAAGGCCUUCGGGUUGUAAAGCCCUUUUGUUGGGAAAGAAAAGCGGCAGGUUAAUACCCCGCUGUUCUGACGGUACCCAAAGAAUAAGCACCGGCUAACUUCGUG
rnacentral:rRNA from 1 species